rnacentral:tRNA from 1 species
GCCUGUAUAGCUCAGUUGGCAGAGCGUAUGUCUUGUAAACAUAAGGUCGGCAGUUCGAUUCUGUCUGCAGGCA